CAGUUUCCCCUCACAACAAUUUGCAUCAAACCUCUUGUCUGAGAAAUCACCCACAGCAUUGGCCAAAUCACUGCGGAAAUCCGGACUUCUUCAUGCACGUUUUUGACCUAACAACAAUCACUGCGAAAUAGCGCAGACCGUGUUUGACUUACGCUGGCCGCAUACGCAUUAAGACCUAUUUUCGCAAGACGCGACUAUAAGUGUGAUUUGGUUGUGUUGAAAGAACACUGUGCAUGUAUGAACUAUUUACAUCUCAUUGCGAUGGCGAUAUAAUAAAUUCAUAAUAAGCCUUGUGAGGCCACAUAUGA